UACGGGGGGUGCAAGCGUUGUUCGGAAUCAUUGGGCGUAAAGAGCGUGUAGGCGGCUGAGCAAGUCAGAUGUGAAAUCCCUGGGCUUAACCCAGGAAGUGCAUUUGAAACUGUUCAGCUUGAGUAAGGAAGAGGGAAGUGGAAUUCCUGGUGUAGAGGUGAAAUUCGUAGAUAUCAGGAGGAACACCGGUGGCGAAGGCGACUUCCUGGUCCUAUACUGACGCUGAGACGCGAGAGCGUGGGGAGCAAACAGGAUUAGAUACCCGCGUA
rnacentral:rRNA from 1 species